CGAACCAGUAUCGGUUGAAAACGAUUUGGAUGAGGUGAGGGUAGGGGUGAAAGGCCAAUCAAACCCGGAGAUAGCUCGUAUUCCUCGAAAUAGCUUUUGGGCUAGCCUCGAGUAAUAGUAUGACGGAGGUAGAGCUACUGAUUGGGCUAGGGCCCUCACAAGGGUACCAAACUCAGACAAACUCCGAAUUCCGUACAUAUGUUUCUCGGGAGUCAGGCAGUGGGGGAUAAGCUUCAUUGCCAAGAGGGGAACAACCCAGACCAUCAAUUAAGGCCCCUAAAUAGUAGUUAACAGAGAAAGGAUGUUGAGUUGCUCAGACAACUAGGAUGUUGGCUUAGAAGCAGCCAUUCAUUUAAAGAGUGCGUAAUAGCUCACUAGUCAAGCGACUCAGCGCCGACAAUUGUCGGGACUAAAACUACUUGCCGAAAUUAUGGGAUUGCAUUUAUGCAAUCGGUAGAGGAACAUUCUAUAGGCGCUGAAGGUGUACUGCGAGGUAUGCUGGAGCGUAUAGAAGUGCAAAUGUUGGCAUAAGUAACGAAUAAGAAAGAUGAAAAUCUUCCGCCGAAAGUCUAAGGUUUCCUGAGCAAUGUUAAUCAUCUCAGGGUUAGUCGGACCCUAAGCCGAGGCUGAAAAGCGUAGGCGAUGGAAAACAGUUCAAAAUUACUGUACCUGGUAUAAUUUGUUGAUUAUAAGGAGGACGCAGAAGUGAAAGUCAGCCACCUGUCGGAUUAGGUGGUUUAAGUAUGUAGGCUUAGAGAGUAGGCAAAUCCGCUCUCUUUAAGGCUGAGGUACGAACAGAGAGCAUAGCUCAUAAACUGACUGUAAUCAUGCUGCCGAGAAAAGCUUCGUAUAAGAAAAUUGUAUCAGUCCGUACCGCAAACCGACACAGGUAGACGGGAUGAGUAUUCUCAGGCGCUCGAGUGAGUCGUGGUUAAGGAACUCGGCAAAUUAGCUCCGUAACUUCGGGAGAAGGAGCGCCCUAAGUAGGUGAGACUCUUUACGAGUUUAGCUGAAAGGGGCCGCAGUGAAAAGGCCCAGGCGACUGUUUAACAAAAACACAUGUCUCUGCGAAGUCAAUUAAGACGAUGUAUAGGGACUGACACCUGCCCGGUGCUGGAAGGUUAAGAGGAGUAGUUAUCACUUUUGUGAGAAGCUGUGAAUUGAAGCCCCAGUAAACGGCGGCCGUAACUAUAACGGUCCUAAGGUAGCGAAAUUCCUUGUC
rnacentral:rRNA from 1 species